UACGUAGGGGGCUAGCGUUGUUCGGAAUUACUGGGCGUAAAGCGCACGUAGGCGGUCAGGCAAGUCGGGUGUGAAAGCCCUGGGCUCAACCUGGGAAUUGCAUUCGAAACUAUCUGACUCGAGUAUGGGAGAGGGAAGCGGAAUUUCCGGUGUAGCGGUGAAAUGCGCAGAUAUCGGAAGGAACACCAGUGGCGAAGGCGGCUCUCUGGGACGGUACUGACGCUGAGACGCGAAAGCGUGGGGAGCGAACAGG
rnacentral:rRNA from 1 species